GUCUCUGUUAUCUGGGUCCCGAU
rnacentral:miRNA from 1 species